UACGUAGGGGGGCAAGCGUUGUCCGGAUUCAUUGGGCGUAAAGAGCGUGUAGGCGGCCAGGUAGGUCGGUUGUGAAAACUGGAGGCUCAACCUUCAGAGGUCGACCGAAACCAUCUGGCUAGAGUCCGGGAGAGGAGAGUGGAAUUCCUGGUGUAGCGGUGAAAUGCGCAGAUAUCAGGAAGAACACCCGUGGCGAAAGCGGCUCUCUGGAACGGUACUGACGCUGAGACGGCGAAAGCCAGGGGAGCGAACGGG
rnacentral:rRNA from 1 species